GGAAAUGUUCGUGGAAAAGUUGAGGAAUAAGUUCUUUCCUCCAGCAUUGAGAAGGAAAAAAGAGAAUGAAUUCUUGUUCUUGAGGCAAGGGCAGAUGACGGUAGUAGAAUAUGCUGCCAAAUUUAUGGAACUCGCGCGGUUCGCUCCAGACUUUACAAACAGCACCAGGUAUCUUCUCUAGGUGCAAGUGUGCAACGUGGUUUAGAAGUUCAUAUUUUCUCAAUCUCGCUAAGCCUAAAGCGAAACCUCCAAUCCUCCAUCACCAAAACCUAAAAUGAAACCAGUAAACCACUUCUUUCGAUAAUCGAAAUUCUACUAACUCCAUUAGCGAAUUCUUCUUUCUCGUCAAAAUUCCACCUAAUUACCCUCAAAUUCAAUCCAGGCCAAUUUGCAAUUGAGAAAUUUGAAUUCGUCGUUCCCAAUUGUCAACUCCUUCACCGGUGACAACCACAUUUUUCUAGUUCUUCCGCUUGCUUAAACACCGACGGUCGUCGCGCUUCCCUAUCUUAGGACUUAAGGUAGAGGAUGCCACAAGUAUUUUGGGAAUAUGAAACAGAACAAUUUAAAUAUCCAUGAAUAUUGAAGCUUCAACUCUUUUCCACUAUGCAUUCCUUUCUUACUUCCCUAGAACCAGGGCGUGAAGGGAUCUCUUUCAUAGAUCAGAUUGUCUUGUUGUGCAGUUUUUGGCUUUCUGAAUGAAGUAAUAUUUGAACCUUGGAUGAUUCAACCAAGUAGUUUUUUUGUACAGGUUCAUAAAAACUUGGGAACCUUCUCUUAUUUAAUGUCACAAAUUUUCUUGUUCAAGAGAAGAUAGUAUGAUGUUGUGCAUGUCAAAAGAAAAGAACUUUUUCACAUUUCCAAGGGUAUCUGAGGAGAUAAGAUGAUGGAGAUUGAAGAUGACUGUCAAGUUUGAAUUGUACUUAUUACUUAAUUAUUUGUUUUGGUAGAUAGCAUUUUAGAUCAUAGAAACUUUAUUUUUAAGACAUGUUUAGUUUUUGGUUAUAAAUUAAAUUUGUAGCAAUAUGUUUUUGACAUGAUGAAUAAAGCAGGAUGAGAGCCAAAUCCUAUAGAACUUUUUCCUUCCCUUUUUUGUAGUUGUGACUUUUAUAUAAAUUUUUUAAAACAAAAAAAGAACUUUUUCCUUCCCCUCCUGCUUCGCCUCCACUCUCUUUUUCCCUCCCCCACCCAUGGCCCCUGCCAUCUUUCUUCCUCACCCUCCCCUUUCCCAUCGUAGACGACCCCUCUCCACUCUCCCACAAAAAAAAACCUUUAACAGUGCUACCACCCGAACCAACUACCACCGAUACCAUCAACAAGUUUGAUAUCUUCAACAACAACAAACUUAUCACUAGCAGCCUUAACCACAUUCUCUCUCAACAACGCACCACCACACCUCGUCACAAGAUUAAGAUCAGGAUAAAUCUCAUCAGUGCCAUCAAUGGUGAGGUCAAUACGAGGGUGACCAUUGAGGACAAAGAGAUGAAUACCAAGCGAAGCAACUUGCUCUUGAGAGCGCUUAGAAGUCAAAAUUUUGAUGAUAUUUGCGAAUUCUGACGAUGAUAGAAGCUCGUCGACUUGUGCGAUGUCACAUGUGGCGGUGAUGUAGGUUCCUAGGUCGAGAACCACGCCGAGUUUUGUGGUGGUGUGGCAGUUGAAGGUGGAAAAAUGAGUGAAAGGGAGGAAAGAGAAAGUGGCGGGAGCUAUUGGAGAGAGAAAAUGGAAGCAGGUGUGAGCAGUUCCAACGGAGGAGGUGAAGGAGGAGACACUAGUGGAAAAAAGGUUAAAUGACACAAUGAAACUAAUCCGGGUUCUCAAAAAACAGGAUCAGUUUUGUAUUAACUGAUUCGGUUAUUAGGAGAACCGGGUCAAUUUUUUAUUACUUGAUCCGGUUCGUCGCAAUCGGAUCCAUUAAUAAACAAAAUGGCAAGCUGAAAAUGGUAGGCCCAACACAUUCAACACAUAAAAAUACAAACUUUCAUAUCCCAGCAGAAAUUUGACGCAGAUGUAUGCGAUUGCUGCGACUUUUUCACUGGACCAAAUAUGCUCAAAUUUUAACACAAUAUAGAUCUCUUUGUUAGCUUUCCAAUGAACCAAGAAAAUCUCAAUUCUGACUUGUAACGGAGGCACACGAACAGAUUUACCGAACUGGUAGCAGAACAGAACGCAGACGAAGGUGUGCGUGGGUGUAAUAUAGUAGUAGGCGGUGGUUGGGCAGCAGUCACACCACUUGAUGUGAUUCUUUAUGUAAGAUUCACUAGGUUAGGGCUCUUUUAUGUAGCUUAGUGGCUUUUGAUUAUGAAAGUUUGUAUUUUUAUGUAUUUUUAUUUAGUAAGUAACUGGAUAUGGAGAACUCAGGCGUAUUUCGGCUCACAGUUCAACUAGGGUUUUUGGAUUCACUCCUGAAACAAGGUGGAUUCUCUCCUGAAACAAUAAUUAACUCAAACUCAACUUAAAUUAUUAUUAUGGCCGAAAAUCCUUUAUAUAGUACAAGAUUUUCCUAAACCUAUUAUGACUAGUAAAGCUUAAAAGAUAAAUCUAAUCUUAUCUAU